UACGUAGGGCGCAAGCGUUGUCCGGAAUUAUUGGGCGUAAAGAGCUCGUAGGCGGCCAGUUGCGUCCGCUGUGAAAUCCCGGGGCUUAACCCCGGGCGUGCAGUGGAUACGGGCUGGCUGGAGGCAGGCAGGGGAGAACGGAAUUCCUGGUGUAGCGGUGAAAUGCGCAGAUAUCAGGAGGAACACCGGUGGCGAAGGCGGUUCUCUGGGAAUGUCCUGACGCUGAGGAGCGAAAGUGUGGGGAGCGAACAGG
rnacentral:rRNA from 1 species